GGAAAGUCCCCGUGCCUUGGUGCAGAGAGUGUGAGUGGGAGACCGCAGGGCUUGAGCCAAACCUCCAGUGGUGAUGCUCCUAGCAGAGCCGUGUUGGCAGGCUCGGGCCCUUCGCAGCAGAACAGAUAUGCCGUGAGCGCUCGAGAUUGGAGCGCCAACAGAACGGGGCUCACUCUCC
rnacentral:RNase_MRP_RNA from 14 species